AAUGAACGCUGGCGGCAUGCUUUACACAUGCAAGUCGGCCGAGUGGAGAACGGGUGAGUAACGCAUCGGAACGUACCGAGUAUAGGGGGAUAACUGUCCGCAACGGCCGCUAAUACCGCAUAUUAUUCGAGGCGCCGAUGUCGGAUUAGCUGGUUGGCGGGGUAAAGGCCCACCAAGGCGACGAUCAGUAGCGGGUCUGAGAGGAUGAUCCGCCACACUGGGACUGAGACACGGCCCAGACUCCUACGGGAGGCAGCAGUGGGGAAUUUUGGACAAUGGGCGCAAGCCUGCGCCAGCCAUGCCGCGUGUCUGAAGAAGGCCUUCGGGUUGUAAAGGACUUUUGUCAGGGAAGCGGUACCUGAAGAAUAAGCACCGGCUAACUACGUGCCAGCAGCCGCGGUAAUAC
rnacentral:rRNA from 1 species